CCCAGUUCGGCUUUUGACCAUAAACUUGCAGUGAACAUGAAGGAUGCAGUUGAAUGUAUUCCCCACUAGAAACAACCUCAUAACCAAGACGAUCAUAUCCAGAGUACAUGGCGACAUUAUCUGCUAGUGAAGAAAGUAAAAUCUUCUUCAUACUUUUAUCAUGGGCUGUAACAACAUAAGGACUCCAACGCCAGUAAGUUGGGAUAAUGAUGCUAAGUUCAUGCUUUAAACAGUUCUCCAACUCCAGCACUGUCUCUUUGCAUCUUCUCAUAGUUUUGGCAUUGAUAC
rnacentral:misc_RNA from 1 species